GUUUAAAGUGUUGCUAUCAGAUGGAGAAUUGUAAUGUGCAGAAUAUAAUAAAGCCUCUUUUUUUUUUUUUUUUUUUUUUUUUGAGACAGAGUUUUGCUCUUGUUGCCCAGGCUAAAGAAGUGCAAUGGCAUGAUCUCGGCUCACCGCAACCUCUGCCUCCCAGGUUCAAGCGAUUCUACUGCCUCAGCCUCCUGAGUAGCUGGGAUUACAGACAUGCGGCACCACGCUUGGCUAAUUUUGUAUUUUUUAGUAGAG
rnacentral:lncRNA from 10 species